rnacentral:rRNA from 1 species
AUUGAACGCUGGCGGCAGGCCUAACACAUGCAGGUCGAGCGGAUGAAGGGAGCUUGCUCCUGGAUUCAGCGGCGGACGGGUGAGUAAUGCCUAGGAAUCUGCCUGGUAGUGGGGGAUAACGUCCGGAAACGGGCGCUAAUACCGCAUACGUCCUGAGGGAGAAAGUGGGGGAUCUUCGGACCUCUCGCUAUCAGAUGAGCCUAGGUCGGAUUAGCUAGUUGGUGGGGUAAAGGCCUACCAAGGCGACGAUCCGUAACUGGUCUGAGAGGAUGAUCAGUCACACUGGAACUGAGACACGGUCCAGACUCCUACGGGAGGCAGCAGUGGGGAAUAUUGGACAAUGGGCGAAAGCCUGAUCCAGCCAUGCCGCGUGUGUGAAGAAGGUCUUCGGAUUGUAAAGCACUUUAAGUUGGGAGGAAGGGCAGUAAGUUAAUACCUUGCUGUUUUGACGUUACCAACAGAAUAAGCACCGGCUAACUUCGUG